AGACAUAAAUGCAGAAAAACAGGCAUGGAGGCAGGCAGACAGGCAUGGAGGAAGACAGACUGGCUGCAGGGGCCUGGAAGGAAUGGUUGAUAGAGGCCAGAAGGGAGGGAAGUGAUUGCUUUGCCGUGAGCAGUUAGAAUGGGAUUCAGAAAUAAGGGUAAGGCAGCAGUAAAUGCCGGCCUGGGUGUUGGUAGACCUAGGUCACUAGGAUCUGCAUCUAAAAGGAAGGGACGCUUCCUUAUGACAGAAGGAUGGUGCUCCAUGUCAUGUGGGUUGGUGUCAGAGGUUAUCAGAACUGCUGCGGUUUUGGAGGACAAAUAUGCCCCUGUCGAGACAACCAGAGCACCGUAGAUCUGAUCUAGGCCAUCAUGGCAAUCCAUCUCCAGUCACAGGUCAUCGUCUAGGACGACAGCCAGGCACAACGCUGGACAGCCUAUCCAUCUCCAGUCACAGGUCAUCGUCUAGGACGACAGCCAGGCACAACGCUGGACAGCCUAUCCAUCUCCAGUCACAGGUCAUCGUCUAGGACGACAGCCAGGCACAACGCUGGACAGCCUAUCCAUCUCCAGUCACAGGUCAUCGUCUAGGACGACAGCCAGGCACAACGCUGGACAGCCUAUCCAUCUCCAGUCACAGGUCAUCGUCUAGGACGACAGCCAGGCACAACGCUGGACAGCCUAUCCAUCUCCAGUCACAGGUCAUCGUCUAGGACGACAGCCAGGCACAACGCUGGACAGCCUAUCCAUCUCCAGUCACAGGUCAUCGUCUAGGACGACAGCCAGGCACAACGCUGGACAGCCUAUCCAUCUCCAGUCACAGGUCAUCGUCUAGGACGACAGCCAGGCACAACGCUGGACAGCCUAUCCAUCUCCAGUCACAGGUCAUCGUCUAGGACGACAGCCAGGCACAACGCUGGACAGCCUAUCCAUCUCCAGUCACAGGUCAUCGUCUAGGACGACAGCCAGGCACAACGCUGGACAGCCUAUCCAUCUCCAGUCACAACGCUGGACAGCCUAUCCAU